AAGUCGUAACAAGGUUUCCGUAGGUGAACCUGCGGAAGGAUCAUUAACGAAGUUCUUUGGAGUUUGUUAGCUGGCUGCUGAAAGGCAGCAUGUGCUCGCUUCAUUUCUUCAUUUCCACCUGUGCACCUCUUGUAGGACUAUGGAAAGUUAUGGGAGGGCUUAAAAAACCCGCCUGUUUUCAUAGCUCUAUGUCUUAUAAACUCUUUAAUAACCUAGAAUGUCUCUUGUGGGUCUUGUACCUAUAAACUUAUACAACUUUUAACAACGGAUCUCUUGGCUCUC
rnacentral:misc_RNA from 1 species